UGAGGAAUAUUGGACAAUGGACGAAAGUCUGAUCCAGCCAUCCCGCGUGCAGGAAGAAUGCCCUAUGGGUUGUAAACUGCUUUUAUACAGGAAUAAACCCCUCUACGUGUAGAGGGCUGAAGGUACUGUAAGAAUAAGCACCGGCUAACUCCGUGCCAGCAGCCGCGGUAAUACGGAGGGUGCAAGCGUUAUCCGGAUUUAUUGGGUUUAAAGGGUCCGUAGGCGGGCUAGUAAGUCAGUGGUGAAAGCCUUCAGCUUAACUGGAGAACUGCCAUUGAUACUGCUAGUCUUGAGUUCGGUUGAAGUGGGCGGAAUAUGUGGUGUAGCGGUGAAAUGCAUAGAUAUCACAUAGAACACCUAUUGCGAAGGCAGCUCACUAAGCCGAUACUGACGCUCAGGGACGAAAGCGUGGGGAGCGAACAGG
rnacentral:rRNA from 1 species